rnacentral:rRNA from 1 species
GGCUCAGGAUGAACGCUGGCGGCGUGCUUAACACAUGCAAGUCGAACGGUGAAGCCCCGCUUGCGGGGUGGAUCAGUGGCGAACGGGUGAGUAACACGUGAGCAACCUGCCCUGGACUCUGGGAUAAGCGCUGGAAACGGCGUCUAAUACUGGAUAUGAGCCUCUAUCGCAUGGUGGGGGUUGGAAAGAUUUUUUGGUCUGGGAUGGGCUCGCGGCCUAUCAGCUUGUUGGUGAGGUAAUGGCUCACCAAGGCGUCGACGGGUAGCCGGCCUGAGAGGGUGACCGGCCACACUGGGACUGAGACACGGCCCAGACUCCUACGGGAGGCAGCAGUGGGGAAUAUUGCACAAUGGGCGGAAGCCUGAUGCAGCAACGCCGCGUGAGGGAUGACGGCCUUCGGGUUGUAAACCUCUUUUAGCAAGGAAGAAGCGAAAG